ACGAGUGGCGGACGGGUGAGUAAUGUCUGGGAAACUGCCCGAUGGAGGGGGAUAACUACUGGAAACGGUAGCUAAUACCGCAUAACGUCUUCGGACCAAAGAGGGGGGACCUUCGGGGCCUCUUGCCAUCGGAUGUGCCCAGAUGGGAUUAGCUAGUAGGUGGGGUAACGGCUUACCUAGGCGACGAUCCCUAGCUGGUCUGAGAGGAUGACCAGCCACACUGGAACUGAGACACGGUCCAG
rnacentral:rRNA from 1 species